rnacentral:tRNA from 1 species
GGGGACGUGGCGAAGCUGGUUAUCGCGCUGGUCUGUCACACCGGAGGUCGCGGGUUCGAGCCCCGUCGUUCCCG